CAAGAACAGAUUCAGAAGAGGACGUUCACUAACUGGGUCAACGCUCAGCUGGCAAAGCGGAGGCCACCAUGUAUGAUCCUGGAUCUGUUCAACGACUUCCGCGACGGCUCCAAACUGCUGGACCUGCUGGAGGUGAUGAGCGGCCAGCGCAUCAGUCGGGAGAGAGGAAGAGGAAUGUUUCAGCACAGGAGCAACAUCGAGAAAGCCCUCUCCUUCCUGAAGAAGAAAUCUAUCAAACUAGUCAACAUAAACAUUCCUGACAUCAUCGAUGGAAGACCGUCCAUCAUCC